AGAGUUUUCACUGUCCCAUGGUUCCUUGGUUCAGUCUUGCUUCCCCUGCUCUGGAAAUGAUAAAAGAGGAAUGAGCCACCAUAUGCUCAGAAAGAACGAUUUACAACUCCAAUAUGAAUAAUGAAGAUAAUACACUGAUUUGACUCUUAACCUUUAUUCCAACUCAAUAAACUUGCACAUGAAUUUGGCUCCAAUACCCAUCUAAUUGUCACUUCGAUCUACCAACUACUCACUUCCUUCACAUGUAUUUCACAUUUAUUCAUGUUCAUCCAUAAUUACACAACUAAAUUUCUUGCAUAUAAUAUAAAUCCAUUCUCAAUCUUGAUGACAUAAUAUAUAAUCAUAUUAAUUACACAUAAUCACAAAUUUAGCAUCCUUGCUCAUGUAUAUAUUCAUAAUGCAGUAAAUUCAUACUAUCCACCAAGCAUAACCGAUGCAUAUUGCAUGUAAAUUUAUUUUUGUUUUUCACAUGAUAUCAAUAAAUCACAAUCAGAAAAAAAAAAUUGAUAAUCACUCCUGUUAACAUGGACUGAGUCAUAAUUACACAUUCACAAGUCAUAGUUACAUUCAUAGUUACUGUUAUAAUCACAGUCAUAGUUUCAAUCACAAUUACAAUUAUAGUUACAGUCAUAAUC
rnacentral:lncRNA from 1 species